rnacentral:rRNA from 1 species
GUCAGCAGCCACACUACCUGCAGUUCACACUAGGUAAUCCAUCUGAAACUAAGCAGUACUUGGAUGGGAGACUAACUAGAAAAUCUGGGUUGCUGGUGGCA